UACAGAGGGUGCGAGCGUUAAUCGGAAUUACUGGGCGUAAAGCGCGCGUAGGCGGCUUUUCAAGUCGAUUGUGAAAUCCCCGGGCUUAACCUGGGAACUGCAGUCGAGACUGUCUAGCUAGAGUAUGGGAGAGGGAAGUGGAAUUUCAGGUGUAGCGGUGAAAUUCGUAGAUAUUCGCAAGAACACCAGUGGCGAAGGCGGCUCACUGGCCCGAUACUGACGCUGAGGCACGAAAGCGUGGGGAGCAAACAGG
rnacentral:rRNA from 1 species